rnacentral:rRNA from 1 species
CCUACGGGCGGCAGCAGUGAGGAAUAUUGGUCAAUGGCCGGAAGGCUGAACCAGCCAAGCCGCGUGAAGGACGAAGGUGCCAAGCAUUGUAAACUUCUUUUGUCAAGGGACAAAAUCAGGCUCGAGAGCCUGACCGAGGGUACUUGAAGAAAAAGCAUCGGAGAACUCCGUACCAGCAGCCGCGGUACUACGGAGGAUGCGAGCGUUAUACGGAUUUAUUGGGUUUAAAGGGUACGUAGGCGGAGGGUUAAGUCAGCGGUAAAAGCACGGGGCUCAACCCGGGCGAGCCGUUGAAACUGGCUGUCUUGAGUGGUGUAGAGGGAUGCGGAAUGCGAGGUGUAGCGGUGAAAUGCUUAGAGAUUGCGCAGAACUCCGAUUGCGAAGGCAGCAUACCGGCGGCGAUCUGACGCUGAGGCACGAAAGCGUGGGUAUCGAACAGGAUUAGAUACCCUAGUAGUC